rnacentral:rRNA from 1 species
GAUUAACGCUGGCGGCGUGCAUAACACAUGCAAGUCGAACGAAGUGGCGGACGGGUGAGUAACGCGUGAGUAACCUGCCUUAGAGAAGGGGAUAGCCUUUGGAAACGAAGAAUAAUACCCUAUGCUCUAAGAUGGACUUGCGUCUGAUUAGUUAGUUGGUGGGGUAACGGCCCACCAAGACAGCGAUCAGUAGCCGGCUUGAGAGAUGGUAAGGCCACAUUGGGACUGAGACACGGCCCAGACUCUACGGGAGGCAGCAGUGGGUAAUUUUGCACAAUGGGGGAAACCCUGAGGAAGCGACGCCGCGUGAUUUAGAAGGCCUUCGGGUUGUAAAAAUCUUUGCUAUGGGAAGCAGUACCAUAGGAAUAAGGACCGGCUAACUACGUGCCAGCAGCCGCGGUAAUUC